UCGGGAAAGAGAAAAAGUCAUUAGC
rnacentral:piRNA from 1 species